rnacentral:lncRNA from 1 species
GCUUCCUUCCUUCUUGAAGUGAAAGAGAGCAGAAGGAGCAAGGACACCUCCUAUGGAAGCAGUGAGGAAAAGUCACCUUCUCUCUCUAGGCAUGUAAUGUGCACAGGAUGCAGCUGCAGGUGCCAACAGAUCAGUGAACACUGAAACUCAUUAAAACUGAUUUCUAGUAGAGUUGGGUCUUGGUGCCAGCUGGUUCUUGAACCUGACUGAUAGCAAACCUGAAGUACAGAGUCUCCCUCUGUUUCAUCCAGAGACCACCCAUCACUGAGGCCCCUUGGCUGAGGAGCAGAUCCCUGGUCUCUGACAUGGCACUGAAGUCAACCAAACCUUGAACAGGGCAGCUCUCACCACUGUUCUUGGGGGGUUCUGCUGUUUAACAAGUGAGCUCCCACUGCAAUGGAUGCAGGCAUUACCUGGGUGCCUUUCCUCUACCCAAGACCACUUCCACCAGGUUCAUAGCAACUCCUUCCCUCCAAGCCUGCCACCCUUCCAUCAGACACACAAACAUUUACCAUCAGCUCUCCCUUUACCAAGACCUUGCUUGCAACUGUGGUUUAGCUGAAAGAUUCUGUGCUCAGAUGCCACUCACCCAUGUGUGUACCUGGCACCGAGCAGGGACAGGGUGGCUGUGGCAGAAAUGUGCUGGGAUGUUUGGGAACACAAGGGAGGGGGAAUGGGGCCCACAUAAGCACUUGGGUUUGCUCUUGAAACUGGGAGGUGGGACACAGCAGGGGCGGGGGAAAAGAGCUGUGCCCCCAAGGUAUGUCCCUGCACUAUAAAAAUUACUUCAGCUGGAUCCAGAGUCAGGGGAAAAAAGCAGCUUCCACCUCUGCUACUGACUCCGACAGCCUUGUCCAGGCAGGAGGACCCUGAGCAAAGGCAGGACUUGAGAAUGAAGGUCCAGGCACUGACAGUCACCAUGCUCCUCCUGGUGCUGCUGUGCUCAGCCCCGGCACCAUCUGGGGUGCUGGGGAGCCAGGCCAGCAACCUGGAGAGGCAGGCAGGGGCUGGGGGCCCUGGAGAAGUCCCUUGGCCACCUGGAGAUGGAGGGAACAAGGUGCCUGGGCAGGGCUCAGAGAGGAGCCAUCCUCUGGCCAGUGCAUGGAAAGUGAUGAGAGAGGCACACCCCAGCUCCAGGUCCCCCAGCAAGGCCACGGCCAAAGCCCUCCUGGGCAGUGGGGAGCAGGUUCUCCCCGGCAAGCCCUGGGGGCUCCCACUGCAGCCCUCCCGCAGCAGGAUCACGAGGCUGAGCCACCACCUGAAGGACUACGGGAAGUUCAACAGUGACACGCACUCCUGCCACAGCAUCCAGUCCCGGCCCUGCCAGAAGCCCUCUGACUGUGGUGGCUGCCUGGGGCUCUACACCUGCAAGCUGCCUGCUGGCACCUGCAGCCUGAAAUCCGUCUCCAGGCAGAGAGGUAAGUUCUAAGUCCCUUGGCAACUGGCCCCAGGGAUCCUCACAUGCAGCAAAGUGCAAGCACAUGCCUUUGGCUGCACUACUCCAAUCCCAAGUCUGACUGCCCCGUGCAGGGCUGGGUCUGGU